rnacentral:rRNA from 1 species
UACAGAGGGUGCAAGCGUUGUUCGGAAUUAUUGGGCGUAAAGGGCGCGUAGGCGGUGCGGUAAGUCUGUAGUGAAAUCUCUGGGCUCAACUCAGAGUCUGCUGCAGAAACUGCCGUGCUUGAGUGUGGGAGAGGUGAGUGGAAUUCCCGGUGUAGCGGUGAAAUGCGUAGAUAUCGUAAGGAAGACCAGUGGCGAAGGCGGGUCUCUGGACAGUUCCUGACGCUGAGGCACGAAGGCCAGGGGAGCAAACGGG